UACGUAGGGGGCAAGCGUUGUCCGGAUUUAUUGGGCGUAAAGAGCGUGUAGGCGGCUAGGUAGGUCCGUUGUGAAAACUCGAGGCUCAACCUCGAGACGUCGAUGGAAACCAUCUAGCUAAAGUCCGGAAGAGGAGAGUGGAAUUCCUGGUGUAGCGGUGAAAUGCGCAGAUAUCAGGAAGAACACCCGUGGCGAAGGCGGCUCUCUGGUACGUGACUGACGCUGAGACGCGAAAGCGUGGGGAGCGAACAGG
rnacentral:rRNA from 1 species